rnacentral:rRNA from 1 species
AGCGAACGCUGGCGGCAGGCUUAACACAUGCAAGUCGAGCGGGCAUCCUUGUGGUGUCAGCGGCAGACGGGUGAGUAACGCGUGGGAACGUGCCCUUCGGUUCGGAAUAACUCAGGAAACUUGAGCUAAUACCGGAUACGUGCGAGAGCAGAAAGGUUUAUCUGCCGAAGGAUCGGCCCGCGUCUGAUUAGCUUGUUGGUGAGGUUAUGGCUCACCAAGGCGACGAUCAGUAGCUGGUCUGCGAGGAUGAUCAGCCACACUGGGACUGAGACACGGCCCAGACUCCUAGGGGAGGCAGCAGUAGGGAAUAUUGGACACUGGAGGCAACUGUGAUACAGCCAUGCCGGGUGAGUGAGGCCGGCCUUAGGGUUGUGAAGCUCUUUUCUCCGGGGCGAUAAUGACGGUACCGGAGGAAUAAGCCCCGGCUAACUUCGUG